GGUCUGUAUUGAUAUUUGGGGAGGUGUGCUCUUAUAUUUUAGUUAGAAAUUGUUAGUUUUGGGCUUUUGGAAGUUAUUAUAUUGGUUUUCCCAUUAAUUUUUGCCAUGCCCUUUGCAUUGUGCAUCUCCAACAUUAGUAUUCUCUGUACCUGUUUUUGUUUGGACAAUCAUUUUCUUAAUAUCUUGAGAAGCUUCUAAUGGGGAUUUGGUUUUUCAGUUUCUUAAUCCUUUAAUUGAAGUAGAGAUGAUUGCUGUUAUGUUUUUACUUCAAUAAUAAUUGGUUACAGAUUAUAACUUCUAUGAAGGCAAAAGUUAAAUGGAUAAUUAGUAAAUUUUAGUUUUUCAAGCAGCAUCUUUUUGAUUGCCAUUGUUGCCCCCAACUUUAUCCUUGAGGAUUCAGCUUCUUAUGAAGUUAAACAGAUUAAUUUAGUAGGAAACAAAGAAGAAAAGUAACGGGAGCAACUGAGCUUUUUACCAUUUGAAACUUGAUUUAUGGUGGGCUAUAAUAUCAAUUUUCAACUGACAAUUGCACUUUUAUAUAUCCUGGUGUUGCAGUAAUGAGAUCUUAU
rnacentral:misc_RNA from 1 species